rnacentral:sRNA from 1 species
AAUCAUUACGGGGUUUAGGUAUGGAAC